ACAAAAUACUCAAUAAUUAUAUUAAGUAUCAUUGUAAAUUACAAAGAAUUAAAAAUCACAUAAGCAAAUAUCCAAAUUAUACAACACUAUUUUUACAAUUCCUAAAAAGGAAGAGAAGAAUUGUAAGGUGCAAAAAUGGCAACAUCUUCAUACAGCCCCUAGAAAAAUAAAGUUCGUUCCUCUUUGGCUUCAACUUGUUCUUUAACAUGUCAACCGCUUCAACUUGCUCUGCCUCACCAUCUUCAAGGGAAGAUUUAUUAAUUGGUAUAUGGUAGAUAUACCAUUAUUAAGGUAUUUAUUAAUUAUUUGAAGACUAAUGGUAUAUCUACCAUAUACCAAUUAAUCACUAGGAAACCAUGACUACAAAGGAAGUUUGUUAACAUCAGUAAGAGCGAGUUGUCAAUAAAACUGACUCGUACAUUAGUCUUAUCUAUCUUCCAAUUUGCAACUCUAUCUGAGAUCAGGGCUACAUGCUCUACCUUAGCCUUCUCCCUCCUCGUAUCUCCUAGCCUGUCCUCAGUGCUCCUCGACAUCAUGAGGAACUGCUAAGUCCAUUAAGACAUCACACUGUUAGCAAGUUUCUGUAAACAUGGCAAGCCACAUCUAUUAUGUUUUGAAACAACAUUUGUAAACUUGCUAAAAACAAUUUACCACCAUAUCCAUCUUUAGAAAGACAUGAAACUUUGCAUAUAGGAAUAAAAAAAGUCAUAAUUGAAAUUGUAAGUUUACUGAUUCAAACUAAUAUAAAACCUUAAUCUAACAACAAACUACUAUACAACCUGACAGAAAUGAUAAUAAUCAUGCUAAACCUAGUCUAUCUACAAUAAAGUUUUCAAACAAACGUGGAUUCAACUUUAAUGAUUAAAUUAUUGGUAACAGAGCAUGAAGGACAUUGUGUGAUAUCGUAAUGUACAUCUUGAAGCCACCUUAUAUAACAUAAGUUGUAUGUUCAAUAAAGAUAAAGAUCAAAAAAUUGCAAAUGAAGUAGGUCCCAAGAUUCUCUUUUCCAUCUAUCCAAGGCUUUUAUCUUUAACAAGCAGAGAACCAUAGAAGAUCUAUUGUAGAGGAGGACCAAAAAGACAAAGAAGGAACUCAAAUUCACAAAUUAACCACUUCGCUCACCUAGAGAAAUAUAAUAAAUAGCAGCUUAUGUUUUGAGUGCACAACACCCUCAGUACUUUCGAUUGCUUAAUUAAACCACUAAAACACCUCAGAAUAGUCAAUUUGACAUCCCUAAAUGCACAAACACUAAAUACUCAUCGCAACAAAUGAAUGGAAUCUGAAUGGCAUCGCAGCUAAUCAAGGUCCUAUCUCACAGCUAAAUUAGGAGAGGAAACAAUACAAGUUUAGCCCCCAAAAAGGGGUUCUGCUUGUUUUCCCAAUAGUGUUAGGAUAAACUACAACACCCACCCAUAGUCCCAUUUUACAUAUAUGCAUCUCUCCUUCAGUUACAUAAUUACGACACAUCGACAAUUAAAAUUAAUUUUUCAACCAAAUCAAAAAACUAAAAGCAUAUAAUUUCUUUCAGAUGAAGAGAAGGCACUAUUCUUGUAUAUAAAAAUUCAAAAGAUGACAAAAUCUUUCGUUUCUUAACCAUUUAGUUUGGUGGAAUAAAAGUAAAAAGAAUGCUAGUUGAAGACAACAUCUAACAUUUUCAAUAUUUGAUAUAUACGAUCAUAGAUUUCUUUAGGUAGAACCCUAACUAUUACACGAAAUCAGACCAAUCAGAAAGUUAAUGAAGAUAGAGAAACUUACCAUGAGAAGGAGAAAAAACCCUAAGACUAAUUCACUAGAGAGGCGCAGAGAACGGAAAAUCACAGUGACUAGAGGCAUAGUCCAGUUCAUUUCACUUUAAUUAGAGAGGGGACGUGGGAGUGGGAGU
rnacentral:lncRNA from 1 species